rnacentral:rRNA from 1 species
UACGAAGGGGGCUAGCGUUGCUCGGAAUUACUGGGCGUAAAGGGCGCGUAGGCGGACAGUUUAGUCAGAGGUGAAAGCCCAGGGCUCAACCUUGGAAUUGCCUUUGAUACUGGCUGUCUUGAGUUCGGGAGAGGUGAGUGGAAUGCCGAGUGUAGAGGUGAAAUUCGUAGAUAUUCGGCGGAACACCAGUGGCGAUGGCGACUCACUGGCCCGAUACUGACGCUGAGGCGCGAAAGCGUGGGGAGCAAACAGG